rnacentral:rRNA from 1 species
GAUGAACGCUAGCGGCAGGCUUAAUACAUGCAAGUCGAGGGGCAGCGCAGUGUAGCAAUACAUGGGCGGCGACCGGCAAACGGGUGCGGAACACGUACGCAACCUACCCAUAACUGAUGAAUAGCCCUCCGAAAGGAGGGUUAAUACAUCGUAACCUAGUGAAGUGGCAUCACUUUACUAGUAUAGCUCCGGCGGUUUUGGAUGGGCGUGCGCCUGAUUAGGUAGUUGGCGGGGUAACGGCCCACCAAGCCUGCGAUCAGUAACUGGAGUGAGAGCACGACCAGGCACACGGGCACUGAGACACGGGCACGACUCCUACGGGAGGCAGCAGUAAGGAAUAUUGGUCAAUGGACGCAAGUCUGAACCAGCCAUGCCGCGUGAAGGAUGAAGGUCCUCUGGAUUGUAAACUUCUUUUAUCUGGGACGAAACCCUCGUUUUCUAACGGGAUUGACGGUACCAGAGGAAUAAGCACCGGCUAACUCCGUGCCAGCAGCCGCGGUAAUAC